rnacentral:rRNA from 1 species
GACGUAGGGCGCGAGCGUUGUCCGGAUUGAUUGGGCGUAAAGAGCUCGUAGGCGGUUCGUCGCGUCGGCUGUGAAAUCCCGAGGCUCAACCUCGGGUCUGCAGUCGAUACGGGCGGACUGGAGUUCGGCAGGGGAGACUGGAAUUCCUGGUGUAGCGGUGAAAUGCGCAGAUAUCAGGAGGAACACCGGUGGCGAAGGCGGGUCUCUGGGCCGAUACUGACGCUGAGGAGCGAAAGCGUGGGGAGCGAACAGG